AUCGUAGGUCUAGGCACCACAUUAUUAGACUUCAGAUCUAAAAGUCUGUUUCAAUGUUACUUCAAAAUGACAAAAAUUGGUAAUUUUUUCUCAGUGUUUUCAGAACAAGGAGCAAUAAAAUCAACCACCAAAAAUGAAAAAAAAAAAAACAAUUUGGGCACUUUUACAGCUUCAGUAUAUUGAAUGAUUAAUUUCUAUAAUCUCACUCUAAUGAAAUAGUCCUUCUGAUAAGUUUAAUCUCGUUUCAGAAAACGACUCUUUGCAGGUUAUUUUCUUCAGUCAUUUUAUGGUGUAGUGAUCUGUCAAUUUUUACAAUUCCCAGUACCUAUUUUACAGAAAGUUAGAAUCUUUUAUUAAUUUUUUUCAAAAUGAAAAUAGUAAAAACAUUCUUUCAUUAAAUUCAACUUUAAUGUACGUUUGUGAAUACGAAUUUUGUCAGUUGUUUGCUUAUCUCCAGUGAUUCGCGAUGCAUUAGUGAUCUGUCGUAAAAAUGAAGCUUAGCUAUUUGAAAAUUCAUUUUACUCGUGUUUUUCUGAUAUUCGUGUUAAUUUGCUACAAGCCUACUUAUCAAAGAUCCACUCAUAAAGUCGAUCAUUCCCUAACUAUAGAAUUGAAGAAAACGAUAAAAGAAUUACACGCCGCAAAUAAAGUACUCGGUGAGCAUAUCAAAGCUCAUAAUAAAGCACGUCGUGCACAAAAUCCUCAAGCAGGUCUUCAUUUCCCACAUGACAGUGUUUAUAAACGUCUUAGGACAUGGACAAAUGGUUUAGUUGGAAAAUUAUUCUUUCCUUGAAUUUUCACCCAAGAAUAAGCAGGAAUUUACCAAAUUGAUUAGCAUUAAAAUCGUCAGUGCUCGUCCCACCUAAUUUUUAACUAUCGAAUGAAUAUGAUGUGUCAAGAAUGUUCAAGAUUCACAAAAUUGAAACUAUAGUUCCUGUAUUACUACAUAGACCUACACUAUCGUCCAUUUUACACAUUACCUACUCGUCUCAUACGAUAGGACUAAAUUUCUCAACGACAAACAGCGAUUUUCUAACAUCUUAGUUGAUCAAAUCGAAUAGUUGAUUAAUGAACGGUGCAGGUGUUUAUGAUAUCUUCCUCAACAAGCCGAGUCAAUUGUCAAAUAAUUUAAUUCUGAAAAUCGAUCACGAAGAAAACGGAAUGAUCAAAGUAGUAAAAUGGUCUGAAGAAUUAUUAAUUUUAAACUUCUGUUUUUCAAACAUUGCAAUAAAUCAUUUUUGAAAGUUUAA